CAGGACUCGCAAGACUCCUACAACCCUGUGAACUUAACUAUAAGCACGUUGCUUCGGCGGGUGUCUCGGCGAGGGUCCUCCCUCCCCGGGGCGCUAAGCCCGCCGGCAGCCUACUAUACUCUGUCUCUUUGCGCUGGCAUCUCGAGUACAAUCAAACAAGUUA
rnacentral:misc_RNA from 1 species